rnacentral:rRNA from 2 species
ACGUACACAACCUUCCUACAAGUGGGGAAUAGCCCAGAGAAAUUUGGAUUAAUACCCGUAACAUAUAAAGAUGGCAUCAUUUUUAUAUUAUAGCUACGGCGCUUGUUGAUGGGUGUGCGGCUGAUUAGGUAGUUGGCGGGGUAAUGGCCCACCAAGCCUGCGAUCAGUAGCUGAUGUGAGAGCAUGAUCAGCCACACGGGCACUGAGACACGGGCCCG